AGAGUUUGAUCCUGGCUCAGGAUGAACGCUAGCUACAGGCUUAACACAUGCAAGUCGAGGGGCAUCAUGGACUCAGCUUUGCUGGGUUUGAUGGCGACCGGCGCACGGGUGAGUAACGCGUAUCCAACCUGCCCUUUACUCCGGGAUAGUCUCCUGAAAGGGAGUUUAAUACCGGAUGUGUUUGUCUUUCCGCAUGGGAGCGACAAAUAAAGAUUAAUUGGUAAAGGAUGGGGAUGCGUCCCAUUAGCUUGUUGGCGGGGUAACGGCCCACCAAGGCGACGAUGGGUAGGGGUUCUGAGAGGAAGGUCCCCCACAUUGGAACUGAGACACGGUCCAAACUCCUACGGGAGGCAGCAGUGAGGAAUAUUGGUCAAUGGGCGAGAGCCUGAACCAGCCAAGUAGCGUGAAGGACGACGGCCCUACGGGUUGUAAACUUCUUUUAUAAGGGAAUAAAGUUCGCCACGCGUGGUGUUUUGUAUGUACCUUAUGAAUAAGCAUCGGCUAAUUCCGUGCCAGCAGCCGCGGUAAUACGGAAGAUGCGAGCGUUAUCCGGAUUUAUUGGGUUUAAAGGGAGCGUAGGCGGGCUUUUAAGUCAGCGGUCAAAUGUCGUGGCUCAACCAUGUCAAGCCGUUGAAACUGCAAGCCUUGAGUCUGCACAGGGCACAUGGAAUUCGUGGUGUAGCGGUGAAAUGCUUAGAUAUCACGAAGAACUCCGAUCGCGAAGGCAUUGUGCCGGGGCAUAACUGACGCUGAGGCUCGAAAGUGCGGGUAUCAAACAGGAUUAGAUACCCUGGUAGUCCGCACGGUAAACGAUGAAUGCUCGCUAUGGGCGAUAUAUAGUCCGUGGCCAAGCGAAAGCGUUAAGCAUUCCACCUGGGGAGUACGCCGGCAACGGUGAAACUCAAAGGAAUUGACGGGGGCCCGCACAAGCGGAGGAACAUGU
rnacentral:rRNA from 1 species